rnacentral:rRNA from 1 species
UCCUCCCUCUUUCUUCGUGCUUAACACAUGCAAGUCGAACGGAAAGGCCCUGCUUUUGUGGGGUGCUCGAGUGGCGAACGGGUGAGUAACACGUGAGUAACCUGCCCUUGACUUUGGGAUAACUUCAGGAAACUGGGGCUAAUACCGGAUAGGAGCUCCUGCUGCAUGGUGGGGGUUGGAAAGUUUCGGCGGUUGGGGAUGGACUCGCGGCUUAUCAGCUUGUUGGUGGGGUAGUGGCCUACCAAGGCUUUGACGGGUAGCCGGCCUGAGAGGGUGACCGGCCACAUUGGGACUGAGAUACGGCCCAGACUCCUACGGGAGGCAGCAGUGGGGAAUAUUGCACAAUGGGCGGAAGCCUGAUGCAGCAACGCCGCGUGCGGGAUGACGGCCUUCGGGUUGUAAACCGCUUUCGCCUGUGACGAAGCGUGAGUGACGGUAAUGGGUAAAGAAGCACCGGCUAACUACGUG